rnacentral:rRNA from 1 species
UACGGAGGGUGCAAGCGUUAUCCGGAUUCACUGGGUUUAAAGGGCGCGCAGGCGGGCUGGUAAGUCAGUGGUGAAAGCCUUGAGCUUAACUCGAGAACUGCCAUUGAUACUAUCAGUCUUGAAUAUUGUUGAGGUUUGCGGAAUGGGUCAUGUAGCGGUGAAAUGCAUAGAUAUCUGGAGGAACACCGAUGGCGAAGGCAGGUCUCUGGGCUGACACUGACGCUCAUGCACGAAAGCGUGGGGAGCAAACAGG